UUCAGGAACACUGUCUCCAGAGCUUUUAAAGCACUUGUGUUAAAAGGUGUCUGAAAAAAUAUCACAUGUAUGUGAAGUCACCCAAGUGGCAGAAAAUCAGGAUAAAUGUAGAGAGCUGUUCAGGCUUGUUAGGAAUAAUAAGAAACAUCAAGAAGCAUUAAGUAAACACAAGGUGAACUAAAAUCUAAUCCCUUGUCUUCGAUUUCUGUGACAGAUGAUUGGCUUGUCUGCAGCUUGUUGGACUUUUAAAUAUUAAAAGUCAUCUCAGAUUGUGAAGACGGUGAAUCAAGAACCUAAUAAAAGCCCAUUUGGAAAUUACAAGGCCAGUCCUCAUCAACACUGCCAUCCACACUAACUGCAGAUAGGAAGCUAGUUACCUGGGCUGUACACAAUUCUGAUUUGAUGGAGACAGAUGUGAGAAGCAGAGGAACAUCUGGAAAAAACUUCUGAAAUGCCCAGUUCGCUGCCGCUGCUACUGUGCGAUCCAGAAUCUCUGGAGGGAAAGCCCCAAAAUCCCCGGCUUUGCCUGCUGCUGGCAACCAAGGCUGAGGUUGAAGCAUUCGGCAGAGAUGGUGCUCGGUACUCGGUGUCGAAGGGCUGAUCGAAGACUCGAAGUUUUCGGACGACUCAGAAUUGGACUGUGCUCAGGCAUGGCAGGGAGAGUUUUCUUCCUUCUCCUGUCUGUGUGAGAUGUGGGACUUUCGAGAGACUUUGAACUUUUUUACUGUGCCCAUGGCCUGUUCUUCAUCAAGAUACGUGUUCUUUUAAAGACCCUGACCUGGAGUACCUGCAGACUUCGGUUCUUUGCAGAAAUGGGACUCAUUCUCGGGGUUUCAGGACCGGCCAUUGUUGUUCGGCAUGCCAAGGAUUUGGCCGGACAGUCCGGCUCGGAUUCAGAAGCCUGAGAUCUCGGAGCCCUGGAGACGGGCAGAUCAAGUGUCACUGUCAUGGCAGGAGACUCGUGUGUCGUCGGGGAGGCUGGAAAAUCUUUUGCUAUGGGCUCAAAGACCCGAGAUUUUUGCAAUCUUCAGGCACAGAGUUUGUGAAAAGCGAUGAAAUUGACUUUUUAACAUUGUAAACCAGCAGGUUGUUGUUAUGUUUUCCGCUCGCUGUGAAAAUGGGGGACACCUCCUUCUCCCUUAUUAGGGAGAAAGAUAACCUGUGGGUUGUCAAAUGCCGGAUGAAAUGUGAUAGUCUUUGGGGUAACUGCAAGUCUGUGUCUUUGCUAUCACCUAGCUCACGCUUGUGCUCGGUAGCGGGUACGCUUUUUUUGGGGGGGAUUGUUGCUUGCUGCCGUUUACACGCAGGAGUGGGGAGCUGGGGGGAGGACUUUGGGGUUCUCGCGUUUAAUUGUCAUUCAUUCUUUGGGGAACUUUUCUGUUUCCAUGGAUGUUUGCGAAGAAAAAGCAUUUCAGGAUGUAUAUUGUAUACCUUUCUCUGACAUUAAAUUGGACCUUUGAACCUUUGAAAUCAGCUUUAAGCCAUUAAAAUAGGCUUCCAAGGUGCUAGUAUAAAUUCAUUCAAAUGUAAAUUAGUUAAACUUCUGUAGGUUAACUGUACCGUUACCAAGACCCAAGAUGAAUUCAGCCAUCUCCAUUGAGUGGGCUAGUUUGUUUGCUAGGCCUGUGUUUGAAAACACUCGCUUUAUGUUGAAACUCUGCCAUUGGAAUCAGUUACAGGACAGAUAAAGAAAAAAGAUUCAAGCAUACGCUCAAAACAUCCUUAGAAAAAUGGAUUAUUCUCACUGAGACUUGAGAAUCUCUGGCCCAUGACAACUCAAAGUGGAGAUGAAACCUGUAAGAUGGUAUUCAGAACUCUCAGGCCAUGUAUCAGGAGCACAGGGAAGACCUGCAUAAUUGUCAGAAGGAGCAGACUUCAAAUUAAAGUACUCAACUGCUUAUGCCAUCAACCACCUCUUGCUCUUCUCACACUGGCCUCAAUAGCCGCCUUAGUCAAAAGUGGAGUGGGAGCAAGUCUUGCUCAAACCCAUGGGUCUGGUCAGGAAGAAAAUCUUAACUGGGGUACAGUGUUAUUGAGCAACACAGAUAACCGAGAAUUCAUUGCUGGCAUUUUUUUCUUCAUGAGGGACUGUAGUUGAACAAUUGAUAGAGAUGUAUUCUAACGAUCAAUUGUUAAUCAUGAUAUCAUUGUUUUGUGCAAAGUACCAGGAUAGUAGAAAGUGAAUUCACUGAACCUUGAUCUUUUAUGCAUCUUGGAACUCUAAUAUUCCUCUAAGACUAAAUGCUCAAUCAUGAAAGAAUGCUUCAAUGUAGAAGAUUCUGUUAAUCAACUAAAAUGUUUGACAAUCCUCUUGAGGACUCAUUUUUUUCAUUACCCUGAUGGAAAUUCUCUGUGCAGUAGACAAACUAUACAAAUCUUUCACUGCAGUGUGCUGAA